UACGAAGGGGGCUAGCGUUGCUCGGAAUCACUGGGCGUAAAGCGCACGUAGGCGGCCUUCUAAGUCAGACGUGAAAUCCCUCGGCUCAACCGGGGAACUGCGUCUGAUACUGGGAGGCUUGAAUCCGGGAGAGGAAUGCGGAAUUCCAGGUGUAGCGGUGAAAUGCGUAGAUAUCUGGAGGAACACCGGUGGCGAAGGCGGCAUUCUGGACCGGCAUUGACGCUGAGGCGCGAAAGCCAGGGGAGCAAACGGG
rnacentral:rRNA from 1 species